AUUUAUUUUUAAAUUCCCUGUCUGUCAGCAUUGCCUAAGGAUAAAUCCUGUUCCCAACACUGUAUAGUCAGGACAUAAAAUUCAUUUAUUUCUUAUUUCCAGAAAGACCAACAUACUUUAUUUAAUAAUAUGAAAUAUAAUCUUUAAAGAUUAGAUAGAUUAGAUUAGAUAAAUUACAAACAACCUCUAUGAUUAGACAAAUUAACAAUAAAUCUCGGCUGUCCCUCUGUCUAAAGUAAAAUUAAUUGUGUGAUUGUCUAUUUGUCUAUUAUGUCAUUUAUUUCUUGUCAAUUUGUUCGCGCCAAGUAUCUUGGAGAUUAGUUCGGUUAAAAACGCAGAUCCCCGGCACUUUGACGUGACUGGUAUUCUGAACUUGUACUUUGUACUUGUCUUGUUUUAUGUGAUUUGUUAAUGGGCUGUUAGUUCAUUAUUAUUCGAAACUUUUCACACAAAGGUAAGUACCACUAAUUUAUACAUUGUAUUUAUAGUUGUACCAGCUUUUCUUGACGUGGUCUGGGAUAAAUAGUGGAACGCUUAUAGGUAACAGUGUGUGGUCUAUUCCGAACCAGGUGCCGAGACAAUAUAUGUAUGUAGGUGUUACAGUUAGGCGUACUUGAGGGCAGUACCCUGGCAGUAAUCAACCAGAACUGGCUCACACCACUUAAGCAAGAGGUACUGUGACCUCCUAUUAAGGGGAGGAAAGCGUUUAGAAAGGCUCUUACUGACGGAGUCCAAGCUCGCAGCAAUUGGAGGCCUUUUGGAAUAAAAAGAGUUUUCUUUUGAACGGGUUCGUAAGAAUAGUAGUUUUUUAUCUGUCCUCCGGUUUUUAUUAUUAUUUUUGUGGCUGGUCAGAACUACUUUCAAUUAAUUAAAGUUGUAACCAUCUUUGCUUGCUUCCUGUCAAUAAAAUACGAUUUAAGAUUC